GACAGAGGUGCCAAGCGUUAGGCGGAAUCACUGGGCUUAAAGCGUGUGUAGGCGGAUGCCUAAGUAUCUUGUGAAAUCCCACGGCUCAACCGUGGAACUGCUUGAUAUGCUGGGUGUCUUGAGCCAUCUAGGGGCUACCGGAACAAAUGGUGGAGCGGUGAAAUGCGUAGAUAUCAUUUGGAACGCCAAUGGUGAAAACAGGUAGCUGGGGAUGUGCUGACGCUGAGACACGAAAGCCAGGGGAGCAAACGGG
rnacentral:rRNA from 1 species